GUGCCGUGCCUGCCACAGCAAGUGGGCAGCCCUGUGCUGUUAGUUCUCUGCCUUUGUCCUGCAGUGGUGCAGUUUGUCCUCUGUUUGGUUGCCAUGGAGCUGUGCUUGUGAUCGCCUUCCUAGGAUGUGGUGCUGUGAGAUAUUUGCACUUCCUUCGCCUGCUGCCCUGCUGAGCAGAUGCCACCCUUUGGGGAAGGAAAUGGCCAGCUGCCCCCAGAUUCUCUGAAAGAAGUUGGACUACCCACCAAGACCACAUAGAGAGUCAAUUAGAGGUAAAGGAAGGUCAUAUGGAAAGAAGAGACUCUGAGACUACACAGAGAAAGAGAACUCCAACCAUCCUACCUUGCCAAUUGAGCCCAGCACCAAUGGAUGGUCCAGCUGAAAGCACCCACACAGCUACCAGGAGGUGAGCAACUUCUUCUACCACAUGCUUCCAUUUUGAUGUACUAAUUCACCAUUGGCCCCUUGGGGCAAGAAGGCCAAUGGACCAUGGAGUAAAAAUCAGAG